rnacentral:rRNA from 1 species
AUUGAACGCUUGCGGCAGGCCUAACACAUGCAAGUCGAGCGAGCGGCGGACGGGUGCGUAAUGUAUGGGGACUGCCCGAUAGAGGGGGAUAACUCCUGGAACCGGUGGCUACUACCGCAUACUAUCGGAUAACACCUAUGGGAUUAGCGAGUAGGUGUGGUAAAGGCUCACCUAGGCGACGAUCUCUAGCUGGUCUGAGAGGAUGAUCAGCCACUCUGGGACUGAGACACGGCCCAGACUCCGACGGAGGCAGCAGUGGGGAAUAUUGAACAAGGGGCGCAAGCCUGAUGCAGCCAUGCCGAGUGUAUGAAGAAGGCCUUAGGGUUGUAAAGUACGUUCAGCGGGGAGGCGUUACCCGCAGAAGAAGCAACGGCUAAAUCCGUGCCAGCAGCCGCGGUAAUUC